GGGUUGUGAGGUUAAGCGACUAAGCGUACACGGUGGAUGCCCUGGCAGUCAGAGGCGAUGAAGGACGUGCUAAUCUGCGAUAAGCGCCGGUAAGGUGAUAUGAACCGUUAUAACCGGCGAUUUCCGAAUGGGGAAACCCAGUGUGACUCGUCACACUAUCAUUAACUGAAUCCAUAGGUUAAUGAGGCGAACCGGGGGAACUGAAACAUCUAAGUACCCCGAGGAAAAGAAAUCAACCGAGAUUCCCCCAGUAGCGGCGAGCGAACGGGGAGGAGCCCAGAGCCUGAAUCAGCAUGUGUGUUAGUGGAAGCGUCUGGAAAGGCGCGCGAUACAGGGUGACAGCCCCGUACACAAAAGCGCAUAUGCUGUGAGCUCGAUGAGUAGGGCGGGACACGUGGUAUCCUGUCUGAAUAUGGGGGGACCAUCCUCCAAGGCUAAAUACUCCUGACUGACCGAUAGUGAACCAGUACCGUGAGGGAAAGGCGAAAAGAACCCCGGCGAGGGGAGUGAAAAAGAACCUGAAACCGUGUACGUACAAGCAGUGGGAGCACAGGUUUACCUGUGUGACUGCGUACCUUUUGUAUAAUGGGUCAGCGACUUAUAUUCUGUAGCAAGGUUAACCGAAUAGGGGAGCCGGAGGGAAACCGAGUCUUAAUUGGGCGUUAAGUUGCAGGGUAUAGACCCGAAACCCGGUGAUCUAGCCAUGGGCAGGUUGAAGGUUGGGUAACACUAACUGGAGGACCGAACCGACUAAUGUUGAAAAAUUAGCGGAUGACCUGUGGCUGGGGGUGAAAGGCCAAUCAAACCGGGAGAUAGCUGGUUCUCCCCGAAAGCUAUUUAGGUAGCGCCUCGUGAACUCAUCUCCGGGGGUAGAGCACUGUUUCGGCUAGGGGGCCAUCCCGGCUUACCAACCCGAUGCAAACUGCGAAUACCGGAGAAUGUUAUCACGGGAGACACACGGCGGGUGCUAACGUCCGUCGUGAAGAGGGAAACAACCCAGACCGCCAGCUAAGGUCCCAAAGUCAUGGUUAAGUGGGAAACGAUGUGGGAAGGCCCAGACAGCCAGGAUGUUGGCUUAGAAGCAGCCAUCAUUUAAAGAAAGCGUAAUAGCUCACUGGUCGAGUCGGCCUGCGCGGAAGAUGUAACGGGGCUAAACCAUGCACCGAAACUGCGGCAGCGACACUCAGGUGUUGUUGGGUAGGGGAGCGUUCUGUAAGCCUGUGAAGGUGGCCUGUGAGGGU
rnacentral:rRNA from 1 species